rnacentral:rRNA from 3 species
UCUGGCGGCAGUAGCGCGGUGGUCCCACCUGACCCCAUGCCGAACUCAGAAGUGAAACGCCGUAGCGCCGAUGGUAGUGUGGGGUCUCCCCAUGCGAGAGUAGGGAACU